rnacentral:rRNA from 1 species
AGAGUUUGAUCAUGGCUCAGAACGAACGCUGGCGGCAUGCCUAACACAUGCAAGUCGAACGGACCCUUCGGGGUUAGUGGCGCAUGGGUGCGUAACGCGUGGGAAUCUGCCCUUGGGUUCGGGAUAACUCUCCGAAAGGAGUGCUAAUACCGGAUGAUAUCGCGAGAUCAAAGAUUUAUCGCCCAGGGAUGAGCCCGCGUAGGAUUAGCUAGUUGGUGGGGUAAAGGCCUACCAAGGCGACGAUCCUUAGCUGGUCUGAGAGGAUGAUCAGCCACACUGGGACUGAGACACGGCCCAGACUCCUACGGGAGGCAGCAGUGGGGAAUAUUGGACAAUGGGCGCAAGCCUGAUCCAGCAAUGCCGCGUGAGUGAUGAAGGCCUUAGGGUUGUAAAGCUCUUUUACCCGGGAAGAUAAUGACUGUACCGGGAGAAUAAGCCCCGGCUAACUCCGUGCCAGCAGCCGCGGUAAUACGGAGGGGGCUAGCGUUGUUCGGAAUUACUGGGCGUAAAGCGCACGUAGGCGGCUUUGUAAGUUAGGGGUGAAAGCCUGGUGCUCAACACCAGAACUGCCUUUGAUACUGCAUGGCUUGAAUCCGAGAGAGGUGAGUGGAAUUCCGAGUGUAGAGGUGAAAUUCGUAGAUAUUCGGAAGAACACCAGUGGCGAAGGCGGCUCACUGGCUCGGUAUUGACGCUGAGGUGCGAAAGCGUGGGGAGCAAGCAGGAUUAGAUACCCUGGUAGUCCACGCCGUAAACGAUGAUAACUAGCUGUCGGGGCACUUGGUGUUUCGGUGGCGCAGCUAACGCAUUAAGUUAUCCGCCUGGUGAGUACGGUCGCAAGAUUAAAACUCAAAUGAAUUUGACGG